rnacentral:lncRNA from 1 species
CACUCACCUACUAAUAAGGUGUGAGUGUUCUGAUCACUUACGGCCCCUAUCAGAGGCAAGUGGAAGCUGUCUGCAUCUCAUCCCUGAACCUUCAAUAGACUGAUAGAAGAAAGGUGACAGUCACCCGCUCAGAGUUCCUCCCUCUGCUGGUCAGAUGUAAUCUUAGUGCUGGAUUGUCUCUUAGACCCAAUCUUGGAAUCUUGGACCAAGCAGAAAAUGAGUCCUGUGGCCAUCUGUAAGGCAUUUGCCCAUUCUGUGCAUCUUUGUCUUCAUCAUCUCUAACAACUGAGCUGGAGAAAUAUGGGGGCUGUUUGCUUUUGCUGUCUACCAGCCCAGAGGGGAGACACCAAACUGACGAUCAGGCGGAAACAACAGGAUUACCAGCAGCUCCCACAGCCACACUGAACAGGAAGCAGUUCUAGCUCCUCCAACAGGAAGAAUUUCUCUCCUAAUUCCACGGACUCUGCAGUUGGCUGAUGGUAUAGCUGCUCUCACUGUCUACCUCUAAGCUGAUCUCUAUGGUCAACAUGUCAUUCUACUCUGAUGUUGAGAACUGAGUCCACACUCAUUUUGAGUCACAAGGAGAGAAAACAACACUUAAGCCCCCGGAGCUGAAAACAGGACAGGCUGGGCUGCCCACAGGAUUGGGGACCACACAGUCUGCCCACAGGAGGACUGAGGCUGGGCUGCCCACAGGAGGAAGUGGGGCCGAAGCACAGGCAAGGUGAGGCCACUGGAGAGAGCAAGGCAGGCAGUUCAAGGAGAAAGUUAGAUGUAGUCACC